ensembl:misc_RNA Metazoa_SRP Metazoan signal recognition particle RNA
GCUGGAUGUGGUGGUGCACGCCUGUAGUCCCAGCUACUUGGGAGGCUAAGGCAGGAGGAUUGCUUGAGCCCAGGAGGCUGAGGCUGCAGUAAGCCAUGAUCACACCACUGCACUGGAGCCUGGGCAACAGAGCAAGACCCUGUCUUAA